AUGAACUGUGGGCUCCAAUGCUGGUUGAUCCUUUGCCUCCUGGGCACAGGCUCCAUGGACACAGGGAUUACUCAGACACCAAAGUUCCUGGUCACAAGCAUGGGGAACAAGAGGUCUUUGAGGUGUGAACAGAGUCUGGGACACAACACCAUGUACUGGUAUAAACAGGUCCCAGAGAGGCCUCCACAGCUCAUGUUUCUGUACAACUACAAGGAAGUCUCUGCAAAUGAAACUGUCCCGAGUCGUUUCUCCCCUGAGAAGCCCGACAGCUCCCACCUGUACCUCCACAUGGACACCCUGGAGCCCGGCGACUCGGCUGUGAACCUGUGUGCCAGCAGCAAAGACACAGCCCUGCAGAGCCUCCACCGCCCUGAGCACAAACCACGGCCCAGCAGGAAGCUGGGGUGUCUGCUCCCCGGGCCCCGGGCUUCCUUCCUGGUGGACCUACAGACGUUUCAGAUCCUGACUUCUCCCAAUAUGCACAUGCCACCUCUGCAUGCAGCCGCCACAUCCCGUGGACUGGCCUAG